rnacentral:rRNA from 1 species
UACGUAGGGUGCAAGCGUUGUCCGGAAUUAUUGGGCGUAAAGAGCUCGUAGGCGGUUUGUCGCGUCCGCUGUGAAAUCCCGAGGCUCAACCUCGGGUCUGCAGUGGGUACGGGCAGACUAGAGUGCGGUAGGGGAGAUUGGAACUCCUGGUGUAGCGGUGGAAUGCGCAGAUAUCAGGAAGAACACCGAUGGCGAAGGCAGAUCUCUGGGCCGUAACUGACGCUGAGGAGCGAAAGCAUGGGGAGCGAACAGG